GACGAACGCUGGCGGCGUGCUUAACACAUGCAAGUCGUACGGUAAGGCCCUUUCGGGGGUACACGAGUGGCGCACGGGUGAGUAACACGUGAGUAACCUGCCCACAACUUUGGGAUAACGCUAGGAAACUGGUGCUAAUACUGGAUAUGUGCUCCUGCUGCAUGGUGGGGGUUGGAAAGCUCCGGCGGUUGUGGAUGGACUCGCGGCCUAUCAGCUUGUUGGUGGGGUAGUGGCCUACCAAGGCGGCGACGGGUAGCCGGCCUGAGAGGGUGACCGGCCACAUUGGGACUGGGAUACGGCCCAGACUCCUACGGGAGGCAGCAGUGGGGAAUAUUGCACAAUGGGCGCAAGCCUGAUGCAGCAACGCCGCGGGCGGGAUGACGGCCUUCGGGUUGUAAACCGCUUUCAGCAGGGACGAAGCUUUUUGUGACGGUACCUGCAGAAGAAGCACCGGCUAACUACGUG
rnacentral:rRNA from 1 species